rnacentral:lncRNA from 1 species
ACUGUAUUUAUUUCUUUCACACACCAUUAAUAUAUGAUAUUUAUGGAUAUGAAAGAGGAGGAGUUUUUCUACACUUGAGACUCCUUCACACUAUUUAUUCUUGUAUGAGGAUUUAUUUCCUCAUGUGAGAAGGUGGAGCACCAAAAGUUGGUGCCCCUUAGGAGACCCAUGCACCUCUUCAUUUCUUAUUUAUAGGGGAUGUCCCUUAUGGAUUUUGGAGUAGAUGUUCUGAUAUUUAGACGUGGGAUAUGUGAAGAUUAAGCAGUAAAAUUUUGGAAAAAAUUAAGAAAAAGAAGAG